UUGCAAAGCGGGUUUCUAUGGUCGUGGAGAAGAAGAUUAGAGACCGGCGGCGCCCCAGAAUAAGACGGUUCAGACAUUUUUGAAGACGUGGGAGACACCACAAGGGUCGAUACUUUGUCUUGUCGUUUGCCACCUUUGGAGCGGCAAGUGCAUCAACGGUGUGAGGGCACAGGAACCUGUCUAUUGCCACGUCAUAAAUCAAAUCGAC
ensembl:ncRNA F15C11.5 ncRNA